rnacentral:rRNA from 1 species
GACGAACGCUGGCGGCGUGCUUAACACAUGCAAGUCGAACGGAAAGGCCCUGCUUUUGUGGGGUGCUCGAGUGGCGAACGGGUGAGUAACACGUGAGUAACCUGCCCUUGACUUUGGGAUAACUUCAGGAAACUGGGGCUAAUACCGGAUAGGAGCUCCUGCUGCAUGGUGGGGGUUGGAAAGUUUCGGCGGUUGGGGAUGGACUCGCGGCUUAUCAGCUUGUUGGUGGGGUAGUGGCUUACCAAGGCUUUGACGGGUCGCCGGCCUGAGAGGGUGACCGGGCACCAUGGGACUGAGAUACGGCCCAGACUGCUACGGGAGGCAGCAGGGGGGAAUAUGGCACAAAGGGCGGAAGCCUGAUGCAGCAACGCCGGGGGCGGGAUGACGGCCUUUGGGUUGUAAACCGCUUUCGGCUGUGACGAAGCGGGUGUGACGGUAAUGGGUAAAGAAGCACCGGCUAACUACGUG